AUAUAUAAAUUAACAUUAAUUUUUUUUAACAGGAAAUGCACAAUGCUAAAAACUGCGUAGGAGAUUUUAAUACAAUAGUACUACCAAGCCUGAUGUUGGCCGCUAUUUCAAUGAAUGCAGCAGUGUCACAGCUAGCAAUCAAAAGUAACAAGAUAUUGAGGAAAUGCAGAUGGCAAUAAACUGUGUAGGAGUUCAUGAUUGCAAUAGAAUAAAAUCGACCAAGCCUGAAGUCAGCAGCCCCUUCAAUGAAUGCAGCAGUGUGACAGCCAGCAAUCAAAAGUUACAAGAUAUCGAGGAAAUGCAGAUGGCAAUAAACUGUGUAGGAGUUUAUGAUUGCAAUAGAAUAAAAUCGACCAAGCCUGAAGUCAGCAGCCCCUUCAAUGAAUGCAGCAGUGUGACAGCCAACAAUCAAAAGUUACAAGAUAUCGAGGAAAUGCAGAAGGCAAAAAACUGCGUAGGAGAUCAUUAAUACAAAAGUAUUAUAUAAACCAAACCUGAUGUUGCCAGCUCCUUCAAUGAAUGCAGCAGUGUGACAGCCAGCAAUCAAAAGUAACAAGAUAUCGAGGAAAUGCAGAAGGCAAAAAACUGCGUAGGAGAUCAUUAAUACAAUAGUAUUAUAUAAACCAAGCCUGAUGUUGGCCGCUCAUUCAAAGAAUGCAGCAGUGUGACAGCCAGCAAUCAAAAGUAACAAGAUGUCGAGGAAAUGCAGAAGGCAAAAAACUGCGUAGGAGAUUAUUAAUACAAUAGUAUUAUAUCAACCAAGCCUGAUGUCGGUAGCUUCUUCAAUGAAUGCAGCAGUGUGACAGCCAGCAAUCAAUAGUGAUAGUGACAAGAAUCUAGGAAAUACAGAAGGCAAAGAAGCAGAUGUCAUCAAAGAAGAUCUUUGUUCCUGCAAUGUUUCCGCAGACGAUACAUCCAACAGAGCGAAGUGGAAGGAAAAGACUCGGAAAAAAGACCCCACCACCAUAUGGGAACAAUGCAAGGGA